rnacentral:rRNA from 1 species
UACGAAGGGGGCUAGCGUUGUUCGGAAUUACUGGGCGUAAAGGGCGCGUAGGCGGCAAUUCAAGUCACUUGUGAAAUCUCCGAGCUUAACUCGGAACGGUCAAGUGAUACUGCUUUGCUAGAGUGCAGAAGGGGCAACCGGAAUUCUUGGUGUAGCGGUGAAAUGCGUAGAUAUCAAGAGGAACACCGGAGGUGAAGACGGGUUGCUGGGCUGACACUGACGCUGAGGCGCGAAAGCCUAGGGUAGCAAACGGG